rnacentral:rRNA from 1 species
UGGGGAAUUUUGGACAAUGGGGGCAACCCUGAUCCAGCAAUGCCGCGUGUGUGAAGAAGGCCUUCGGGUUGUAAAGCACUUUUGUCCGGAAAGAAAACGCCGUGGUUAAUACCCGUGGCGGAUGACGGUACCGGAAGAAUAAGCACCGGCUAACUACGUGCCAGCAGCCGCGGUAAUACGUAGGGUGCAAGCGUUAAUCGGAAUUACUGGGCGUAAAGCGUGCGCAGGCGGUCCGCUAAGACAGAUGUGAAAUCCCCGGGCUUAACCUGGGAACUGCAUUUGUGACUGGCGGGCUAGAGUAUGGCAGAGGGGGGUAGAAUUCCACGUGUAGCAGUGAAAUGCGUAGAGAUGUGGAGGAAUACCGAUGGCGAAGGCAGCCCCCUGGGCCAAUACUGACGCUCAUGCACGAAAGCGUGGGGGAGCAAACAGGAUUAGAUACCCUGGUAGUCCACGCCCUAAACGAUGUCAACUAGUUGUCGGGUCUUCAUUGACUUGGUAACGUAGCUAACGCGUGAAGUUGACCGCCUGGGGAGUACGGUCGCAAGAUUAAAACUCAAAUGAAUUGACGGGGUC